AUUGAACGCUGGCGGCAUGCCUUACACAUGCAAGUCGAACGGUAACAGGAGGUGGGAUGCUGACUAGUGGCGGACGGGGGAGGAAUACAACGGAACGUGCCCGAUCGUGGGGGAAAACGAAUCGAAUGCUGUGCUAAUACCUCAUACGGGCUACGGAAGAAAACAGCAGAGCUCAAUGCCUUGCGCGAACGGUGCGGCCGAUGCCAGAUUAGGUAGUUGGUGAGAUAAAAGCUUACCAAGCCGACGAUCUGUAGCUGGACUGAGAGGACGACUAGCCACACUGGAACUGAGACACGGCCCAGACUCCUACGGGAGGCAGCAGUAGGGAAUUUUGGACAAUGGGCGAAAGCCUGAUCGAGCCAUGCCGCGUGAAGGAUGAAGGCCUUCGGGUUGUAAACUGCUUUUGUACGGGAAGAACAGACUCUGAUUAAUCCCUGGGCUCCAUGACGGUACCGUAUGAAUAAGCAACGGCUAACUACGUG
rnacentral:rRNA from 1 species